AAAGCCUUCAUGCCGAUAUCUACGACUAGGUUGUGAUACUGAGACCCAACUUGUAUGCCGAGAUACUAGAACAUGCCCAGUUGGCUGAAGACCUUAUCUCGGCCAGGCAUCAACGCAUUGCCCGAGUUCGAACCCAAAAACAACACCAACCCCAACAACCUAGAAGAAGACUACCUAACCUAAUAAGUAGCUACCCUGAUAAAGGACCUUGAGUUGCCCUCCCCUUACUCUACCUCUACCCACCGGGCAACCUGUCAGACCUUCCCAAACAUACCAGCAUUGUGGUCGCUCGCAUGGUGAACUACUUUGUUAGCGUAUUAAUCACGCCUACUAUCGGUGUGAAAGCACCUAGCACCUUACAAAGGACUACUCUCAGUGGCUGA
rnacentral:lncRNA from 1 species